rnacentral:lncRNA from 1 species
UUGCAUUGUUGUCUGUAUUCCAUGAGUUGGAUGACUAUAUAAUUUUUCCAAAAAGUUAUUUCUGAUCUGGGAAUAAGUCAUGAUUUUUCCAGUGUUAAGAUGCUAAUAUGACUGUAGACACAAACAGUGUCUGUGACACACUUUAGUAUGUAUGAGCCAACAAUAGACAUGUCUUUGUCUUGAGUAAUGUCCACAUCUGAAUUGAAAAUGUGCCAGCUUUUUUUUCUUUAGCAUCAUCAACAGACUUCUUAAUUAAGCUGCCAAUACGUGCCAUCAAUAGCACU